CGCGGCCUAUCAGCUUGUUGGUGGGGUAGUGGCCUACCAAGGCGACGACGGGUAGCCGGCCUGAGAGGGCGACCGGCCACACUGGGACUGAGACACGGCCCAGACUCCUACGGGAGGCAGCAGUGGGGAAUAUUGCGCAAUGGGCGAAAGCCUGACGCAGCGACGCCGCGUGAGGGAUGACGGCCUUCGGAUUGUAAACCUCUUUCAGCUCCGACGAAGCCUUCGGGUGACGGUAGGGGCAGAAGAAGCACCGGCCAACUACGUGCCAGCAGCCGCGGUAAUACGUAGGGUGCAAGCGUUGUCCGGAAUUAUUGGGCGUAAAGAGCUCGUAGGCGGUUUGUCGCGUCGACUGUGAAAACUCAGGGGCUCAACUCCGAGCUUGCAGUUGAUACGGGCAGACUAGAGUUCGGCAGGGGAGGCUGGAAUUCCUGGUGUAGCGGUGAAAUGCGCAGAUAUCGGGAGGAACACCGGUGGCGAAGGCGGGUCUCUGGGCCGAUACUGACGCUGAGGAGCGAAAGCGUGGGGAGCAAACAGAAUUAGAUACCCUGGUAGUCCACGCCGUAAACGGUGGGUGCUAGGUGUGAGCGGUAUUCCACGCCGUUCGUGCCGCAGCUAACGCAUUAAGCGCCCCGCCUGGGGAGUACGGA
rnacentral:rRNA from 1 species